UCAAAUUUGAAAUCUGGCUUCGGCCCGAGUUGUAAUUUGCAGAGGAUGUUUCUGGCGCGGUGCCUUCCGAGUUCCCUGGAACGGGACGCCACAGAGGGUGAGAGCCCCGUAUGGUUGGACACCAAGCCUGUGUGAAACUCCUUCGACGAGUCGAGUAGUUUGGGAAUGCUGCUCUAAAUGGGAGGUAAAUCUCUUCUAAAGCUAAAUACCGGCCAGAGACCGAUAGCGCACAAGUAGAGUGAUCGAAAGAUGAAAAGCACCUUGAAAAGGGGGUUAAAUAGUACGUGAAAUUGUUGAAAGGGAAGCACUUAUGACCAGACUUGGGCCGGGCGGCUCAUCAGGGGUUCUCCCCUGUGCACUCCGCCCGGCACAGGCCAGCAUCGGUUCUCGUGGGGGGAUAAGACCGUUAGGAACGUAGCACCCUCCGGGGUGUGUUAUAGCCUGGCGGACGAUACCCCCGUGGGGACCGAGGUCCGCGCUCCGCAAGGAUGCUGGCGUAAUGGUCAUCAGUGACCCGUCUUGAAACACGGACCAAGGAGUCGUCCAUUAGAGCGAGCGUUUGGGUGUAAAACCCGCACGCGUAAUGAAAGUGAACGCAGGUGAGAGCUUCGGCGCAUCAUCGACCGAUCCUGAUGUUCUCGGAAGGAUUUGAGUAAGAGUUUUAACGGACGGACCCGAAAGACAGUGAACUAUGCUUGUAUAGGGUGAAGCCAGAGGAAACUCUGGUGGAGGCUCGCAGCGGUUCUGACCGU
rnacentral:rRNA from 1 species